UACGUAGGGGGCAAGCGUUGUCCGGAAUCAUUGGGCGUAAAGAGCGUGUAGGCGGCCCGAUAAGUCCGCCGUGAAAGUCCAGGGCUCAACCCUGGAAUGCCGGUGGAAACUGUCGGGCUAGAGUCCGGAAGAGGCGAGUGGAAUUCCUGGUGUAGCGGUGAAAUGCGCAGAUAUCAGGAGGAACACCAAUGGCGAAGGCAGCUCGCUGGGACGGUACUGACGCUGAGACGCGAAAGCGUGGGGAGCGAACAGG
rnacentral:rRNA from 1 species